AUUGAACGCUGGCGGCAGGCCUAACACAUGCAAGUCGAACGAGUGGCGGACGGGUGAGUAAUGUCUGGGAAACUGCCUGAUGGAGGGGGAUAACUACUGGAAACGGUAGCUAAUACCGCAUACCAUCGUAUGUGCCCAGAUGGGAUUAGCUAGUAGGGGGGGUAAAGGCCCACCUAGGCCACGAUCCCUAGCUGGUCUGAGAGGAUGCUCGUCACCAUUGGGAGUGAGACAGGGCCCAGACGCCUACGGGAGGCAGCAGUGGGGAAUAUUGCACAAUGGGCGCGAGCCGGAUGCAGCCAUGCCGCGUGUAUGAAGAAGGCCCUAGGGUUGUAAAGUAGUUUCAGUCGGGAGGCGUUACCGACAGAAGAAGCACCGGCUAACUCCGUGCCAGCCGCCGCGGUAAUAC
rnacentral:rRNA from 1 species